UGAGAGGCCCGGGCGGCCGCUCGCGGGCAACCGCGGGAGGAAAGUCCGGACUCCUCGGGUCGGAGUGGUUGCCAACAGCAACCGGUCGCGAGGCCAGGGAAAGUGCCACAGAAAACAAACCGCCGCGCGCUCCUCACGGUCCACGCGGUAAGGGUGAAACGGGGCGGUAAGAGCGCACCGCGGGCCUGGUGACAGUCCCGGCACGGCAAACCCCACUCGGAGAAAGACCAAAUAGGGAAGGCACACGAGGACGACCCGCUUCACGCCUUCCGGGUAGGUCGUUCGAGGCCGAGCGCGAGCUCGGUCCCAGAGAAAUGGCCGCCACUGCGCAAGUAGCCACAAAAUCCGGCUUACAGGGCCUCUCACACC
rnacentral:RNase_P_RNA from 1 species